GUGGGGAAUCUUGCGCAAUGGGCGAAAGCCUGACGCAGCCAUGCCGCGUGAAUGAUGAAGGUCUUAGGAUUGUAAAAUUCUUUCACCGGGGACGAUAAUGACGGUACCCGGAGAAGAAGCUCCGGCUAACUUCGUGCCAGCAGCCGCGGUAAUACGAAGGGGGCUAGCGUUGCUCGGAAUUACUGGGCGUAAAGGGCGCGUAGGCGGACAGCUUAGUCAGAGGUGAAAGCCCAGGGCUCAACCUUGGAAUUGCCUUUGAUACUGACUGUCUUGAGUUUGGGAGAGGUGAGUGGAACUCCGAGUGUAGAGGUGAAAUUCGUAGAUAUUCGGAAGAACACCAGUGGCGAAGGCGACUCACUGGCCCAAUACUGACGCUGAGGCGCGAAAGCGUGGGGAGCAAACAGGAUUAGAUACCCCAGUAGUCC
rnacentral:rRNA from 1 species